rnacentral:rRNA from 1 species
AAUGAACGUUGGCGGCGUGGAUUAGGCAUGCAAGUCGUACGGGUCGGUGUAGCAAUACAACGGCAAGUGGCGAAAGGGAGAGUAACACGUAGAUACCUACCCUCUGGUCGGGGAUACCGCGGCAUAACCGCAAGUAAUACCCGAUAAAAUCUCCGGAUCAAAGGUGUGAUUCCGCCGGAGGAGGGGUCUGCGUUCUAUCAGCUUGUUGGUGAGGUCAUGGCUCACCAAGGCUAAGACGGAUACGGGGUGUGAGAGCAUGCCCCCGCUCACUGGGACUGGGACACUGCCCAGACACCUACAGGUGGCUGCAGUCGAGAAUCUUCGGCAAUGGGCGCAAGCCUGACCGAGCGACGCCGCGUGCGGGAUGAAGGCCUUCGGGUUGUAAACCGCUGUCGAGGGGAAUGAAGUGUAGGUGGGUACUCCCAUCUAUUUGACAGAUCCCUGGAGGAAGCAUGGGCUAAGUUCGUGCCAGCCGCCGCAGUAAAAC